UACGUAGGGUGCAAGCGUUAAUCGGAAUUACUGGGCGUAAAGCGUGCGCAGGCGGUUAUGUAAGGCCGGUGGGAAAUCCCCGGGCUUAACCUGGGAACUGCAUUUGUGACUGCAUAGCUAGAGUACGGUAGAGGGGGAUGGAAUUCCGCGUGUAGCAGUGAAAUGCGUAGAUAUGCGGAGGAACACCGAUGGCGAAGGCAAUCCCCUGGACCUGUACUGACGCUCAUGCACGAAAGCGUGGGGAGCAAACAGG
rnacentral:rRNA from 1 species